rnacentral:rRNA from 1 species
GGCUCAGGAUGAACGCUGGCGGCGUGCCUAAUACAUGCAAGUCGAGCGAACAGAUAAGGAGCUUGCUCCUUUGACGUUAGCGGCGGACGGGUGAGUAACACGUGGGUAACCUACCUAUAAGACUGGAAUAACUCCGGGAAACCGGGGCUAAUGCCGGAUAACAUUUAGAACCGCAUGGUUCUAAAGUGAAAGAUGGUUUUGCUAUCACUUAUAGAUGGACCCGCGCCGUAUUAGCUAGUUGGUAAGGUAACGGCUUACCAAGGCAACGAUACGUAGCCGACCUGAGAGGGUGAUCGGCCACACUGGAACUGAGACACGGUCCAGACUCCUACGGGAGGCAGCAGUAGGGAAUCUUCCGCAAUGGGCGAAAGCCUGACGGAGCAACGCCGCGUGAGUGAUGAAGGUCUUCGGAUCGUAAAACUCUGUUAUUAGGGAAGAACAAAUGUGUAAGUAACUGUGCACGUCUUGACGGUACCUAAUCAGAAAGCCACGGCUAACUACGUGCCAGC